rnacentral:rRNA from 1 species
GUGGGGAAUAUUGGACAAUGGGCGAAAGCCUGAUCCAGCCAUGCCGCGUGUGUGAAGAAGGUCUUCGGAUUGUAAAGCACUUUAAGUUGGGAGGAAGGGCAGUAAGUUAAUACCUUGCUGUUUUGACGUUACCGACAGAAUAAGCACCGGCUAACUUCGUGCCAGCAGCCGCGGUAAUACGAAGGGUGCAAGCGUUAAUCGGAAUUACUGGGCGUAAAGCGCGAGUAGGUGGUUUUGUAAGUUGGAGGUGAAAUCCCCGGGCUCAACCUGGGAACUGCCUCCAAAACUGCAUGACUAGAGUACGGUAGAGGGUAGUCGAAUUUCCUGUGUAGCGGUGAAAUGCGUAGAUAUAGGAAGGAACACCAGUGGCGAAGGCGACUACCUGGACUGAUACUGACACUGAGGUGCGAAAGCGUGGGGAGCAAACAGGAUUAGAAACCCGUGUAGUCC